rnacentral:rRNA from 1 species
CAGUAGCCGCGGUAAUACGAAGGGUGCAAGCGUUACUCGGAAUUACUGGGCGUAAAGCGUGCGUAGGUGGUGGUUUAAGUCCGUUGUGAAAGCCCUGGGCUCAACCUGGGAAUUGCAUUGGAUACUGGGUCACUAGAGUGUGGUAGAGGAUAGUGGAAUUUCCGGUGUAGCAGUGAAAUGCGUAGAGAUCGGAAGGAACAUCUGUGGCGAAGGCGACUAUCUGGGCCAACACUGACACUGAGGCACGAAAGCGUGGGGAGCAAACAGGAUUAGAUACCCCUGUAGUCCCUGUCUCUUAUAA